rnacentral:lncRNA from 1 species
AGAGCAUACGCGGACGUGGGCAGUCUUUGGCCUCGUAGCACGUCACGCCGCCGCGUGGACACUGCCGGCGCACCAGCACGCCGACAAGCUUGGUGUCGCCCGAGCGUAUGGCCUUGGCCAGCAGGUCCUGGUCGAGAGGCGCUCCGGCCUCGCACAGCGCAUCGAGGCACGGCGCUUCGUUGCACUUGAUCGCCUUCACGCAGGCCGCAUAGGCGUCGUGCGGACACCCGCUGGCGAGCGCAUAGGUCAAACAGUCGACACGGCCGGCGCGUAUCGCGGCCACCACCAUGGCAUGCGCCCACGGGCAACCAUUCUCGUGCAAGUAGGUUAGACAGUCGAGAUGACCUCCCAACGCGGCUCCGACGCACGCGCCUUCGUCCCACGGGCAUUUGAGCGUUCUUCGCAAAUAAGAGAGGCACUCGAGAUGGCCGCCUCUGGCGGCGCUCGCGCACGCCCUCUUGUCAACGGGGAAUCCAGCCGCGUGCAGAAAGUCGACGCAGGCGAUAUGGCCACCGGCGGCAGCCGCGGCAACCGAGUCGUCGUCGGCCGAGGUCGGGCCGGCUGCAGCGACGACGCGCAAACACCCCAAGCGGCCUAGUCUGGCUGCCAUGUGCCUUUCGUCUACGACACUGCCCAAAUGGGCAAUGAUCCACGAGAGGACAUGCGCAUGGCCAUACUUGAUGGCCGCAAGGCACAUUGCGUGACGUGUGUCCCGGCUCGGCGCCGCAUUGUGAGCGCUCAUGGUUUGCAAGCACGCGAUGUUGCCCGUUGUGACCGCGGCCACCCAUGUGUGACCGUCACUAAGGCAUUUUGCUGUUCCCAAGAGGUAGUCGAGGCAUUCGGCGUGGCCGCGCCUGGCCGCCAAGUCUACAGUGUAGAUGUUGCACAGGCACCCGUUGGCAUGGGCAAAUGCCAGGCAGGCCAAAUGGCCGCGUUUGGCAGCCGCGUUGGUAACGUGCUUUGUCAGCACACACCCACUCUGGAAUGCAUAGGCGAGACAGUCGAGUUGGCCGCCUUUGGUCGCGACCAGGGCGACGCAGGGAUCGCGCGCACUUUCAUAGGAAAACGCACAUUCGAGACAGUCGAGGUGUCCGGAAGCGGCGGCGGCCACCUGCACCCUAGACGACGACCUGUCCCUGCCAUCGCGUCGACUGUCGCCCACCGCAUAAAUGCGGUGCAUCGCCUGGACAUGUCCGUUGCGAGCGGCCCCUACAAGGGCCUCAAUCGAGACUGCACACCCAUUGGCAAGGGCGUAAUCGAGACAGUCGAGGUGACCGCCGGCAGCGGCGGAUGCGACAACUUGGGCCGACCUCCACGCGCACGACACACGAUUCAUCCAGCGCAAAACAUCGAGGCGGCCAUUGGCAGCGGCCUCGUUGGCCGCGUCGCGCGCCCCUAUCCCGGCACCGAUGCCGAGGUAUUCGAGGCAGCGAAUGUGUCCGGCAGCGGCGGCGGCGGCGUCGAGACGCGACCGAUCCGUGGCCGGCCCAGAGCAUGCCCAACGGCCCGUGGCACGCUCGGAAUUGAUCAACGCGCGCCAACGGCGAUCCACCAACGACAGCGUGGCCGUGCCCUCGAUGCAGCUGAUAAACUCUAGGACGUGCAUGAGGAUCUCGUUGGGCAAGUCGCUGAGCGAAGGCGACGCCCUGACAGAGACCGCCUUUCCGCCUCUUCUUCGCGGCAUCGCGCACUACAAGGGGGUGUCGUGCACUUUUUUUUUCUUUCCUGAAUCGUGUGUUUUGCGUGCGGGGGCGAUGGCGCUCCUCGGUAUGAUGUGUUUGUUGUUGCCUUUUCUCUCCUGUCUGUCCGCCGUUGGGUCGUGCGUCUCAGAGCCGGGCGUCUGUUCUGGUCAGCUGGCCCAGAGGCGAUAAAAUGGCGACCGCCCCUCUCCCGUUAAAAAAAGAUGAUUGGACAUUGGGAAAGGCCCGUUUCCGCCGCCCAUCUACGGAGAGCCGAUUGCGUGCAGUGCGGUCUGUCUCGUGGGUUUGUUUCUUUUUUCCUGGCAUCUUUUGUCCCUGGGUUUUUGUUUUUGGUGAUUCUUCUUUUGGUCACGGGUGCGGUGCCCUUCCCUGCACAGAUUGCCUCUUUGCACCGUGCGCAACGGCGUCUGCUCUAAAUGCCUUUUUUUCCUUGUGCUUUGCCGUCGCCGUUUUGGUUUUUUUGGGCCACGUGCG